rnacentral:rRNA from 1 species
GUAGGUGGCAAGCGUUGUCCGGAAUUAUUGGGCGUAAAGCGCGCGCAGGCGGUUCUUUAAGUCUGAUGUGAAAGCCCACGGCUCAACCGUGGAGGGUCAUUGGAAACUGGAGAACUUGAGUACAGAAGAGGAAAGCGGAAUUCCACGUGUAGCGGUGAAAUGCGUAGAGAUGUGGAGGAACACCAGUGGCGAAGGCGGCUUUCUGGUCUGUAACUGACGCUGAGGCGCGAAAGCGUGGGGGAGCAAACAGGGAUUAGAUACCCUGGUAGUCCACGCCGUAAACGAUGAGUGCUAAGUGUUAGGGGGUUUCCGCCCCCUUAGUGCUGCAGCUAACGCAUUAAGCACUCCGCCUGGGGAGUACGGCCGCAAGGCUG